rnacentral:lncRNA from 1 species
GCAUGGCGAGUCCUUGAAAAGCUUCCUAUCCCGCUUCACCGACGAGAUGACCUACUGUGUACAAGUCACCGACAGAGAGGCACUAUCUGCAUUGAGAGGAGGAUUGAACAUGAACACCCUAUUUUGGAGGGAUGUGCAGAAUCAAGACCCAACCACAUAUGACGCCCUACUAGAGAUGAUGAGAAGGGAGAUAAUCAAUGAAAAAUUGAUUGAGCAUAGGAACAGGGCGAGCAGGGGCCUCCCACCUCCUCA